rnacentral:lncRNA from 1 species
UUUUUGACAAUCUACUGGAGAAAAUGCGUCCAUAAGAGAAUAAUUCUACAUAUGUUAUAAUACAAUGUGGUACGGAAUCUGACAGAGGUGCUCACCAAGUGAUUUGAGAGAAUAGAAGGGUCAAUUAGUUUGACUUCAGAAGAAUGAGCUUGUCUUGAAAGUUGGGAACAAGAACAAAAAUGGCUUUAGAAUCUGCAUUCCAUUGACUUUUAAAGAUGAACAGGUGAACACCUGGAUCAAAGUGAAUUAUUGUUCUUCUCUUAUCUUCCGCUGCUUUAUCAUGGUUACCUGGAGCCAGGCUGGAGGGAGAGACUCAUACUUGCCUAAAUGGGAACAUAUUAUUCUCUGGCCGACCUAAUGAUGAUGUCUGGUGUCUGGACCCGACCAACUUGGAACUAUCAAAAGGCCAAAUUCUGUUGUCUCAACUAAGAAAACCUAUGCUUUUGCUUCUUUCCAAGAGUGAACCUGUACCAUACUUUAUGUCCUUA